rnacentral:rRNA from 1 species
GACGAACGCUGGCGGCGUGCCUAAUACAUGCAAGUCGAGCGAAUGGAUUAAGAGCUUGCUCUUAUGAAGUUAGCGGCGGACGGGUGAGUAACACGUGGGUAACCUGCCCAUAAGACUGGGAUAACACCGGGAAACCGGGGCUAAUACCGGAUAACAUUUUGAACCGCAUGGUUCGAAAUUGAAAGCCGGCUUCGGCUGUCACUUAUGGAUGGACCCGCGUCGCAUUAGCUAGUUGGUGAGGUAACGGCGCACCAAGGCAACGAGGGGUAGCCGACCUGAGAGGGUGAUCGGCCACACUGGGACUGAGACACGGCCCAGACUCCGACGGGAGGCAGAAGUAGGGAAUCUUCCGCAAUGGACGAAAGUCUGACGGAGCAACGCCGCGUGAGUGAUGAAGGCUUUCGGGUCGUAAAACUCUGUUGUUAGGGAAGAACAAGUGCUAGUUGAAUAAGCUGGCACCUUGACGGUACCUAACCAGAAAGCCACGGCUAACUACGUGCCAGCAGCCGCGGUAA